UUUUUUCCUUUUUUUUUUUUUUUUGGAGCUGGGGACCGAACCCAGGGCCUUGUGCUUGCUAGGCAAGCGCUCUACCACUGAGCUAAAUCCCCAACCCCCAGUCUCCACUUGUUAAUGUAAUGGUAGCUAGCCUAACUGGGGUGAAGUGGGCGAAGUCACUCCUCUCGUGAGUACUUGGGAAGUCUUUUCACACGUACCCACCAUUGUAGUCUUUCUUUGGGAGAAAUGUCUAUCCGAGUUUUCUGUCCAGUUUAAACUGGGUUGACCUAUUCUGAAGAUGAACGUUCUUACGUUUAUCAUACAGAGGAGAAAACUGAGGCUCAAAGAAGUUAGUGGGUGUACUAAAUUGCCAACUGGGAGGGAGGCAGAGUCCAUAUUGAUUGGCCUAACUUCAGAAUCGUGCCAUUUCUAUCUCAUCUUCCGAAUUCUCCGAGGAUGUAGACACAGCUCCUGACAGUGACAAUAAUAAUGCUACACAGGGCUGAACUCAUGGAAAAGUGAACACGAUAAAGGCCAAGAGAGCUUUGGUUCUGUCCUGAGUCCUACAGAAAUAGACGGUGCAUUGCUCUAGUUUUGCUGUCGCUACGUUGCACUUGAUGCUCACUACUCGUCACAGCCCUGACGGGAACAGCCUCCAGCAUAUGUGCUCCAUCACUGGAGAGAGGCCUGACAAACUCAUACAAAGUUCACAAUUAAAAGUGUGUAUAUAUGUAUGUACACGCACACACACACACACACACACACACACACACACACACACACACACACAGAGCACUUUUCAUGUUCAGAAGAAAAUCUCAUCUUAGUGAAGCGAUAAAACCUGGAAAGGGCUCUAAGGGGUGCAGAAGAGGAAAACACAUGGAAGGACAAAUGUAGCUCAAACUGAGCCUCACUGUGACUUUGCUUCCCUACAGGAAGCCAUUGGUGCAUGGCCUGCAGUCAAGGCCCUCAUGAGGAAACAGCAUCAGAACAAGGGGGUUGAUAGUGAGGUCAGGAAAGCAGGUCAGAUGUCAUAUCUAGAGUAGCCAUCAGUGCUUACUUUAUAUGAAAUAGUUUUACAGUGCCGAGGAGACGGCACACCUAAUUUUGAAAUUGUGUAAUAAUGAAGUGUAUCAUUUAUGAAUUUUCCAUCACAUUUUAUCUUCUGAGAUUAUUCAAUGCACUACAGGAACAAAACAAAACGAAACAAAACCAGGAUAUUUUCCAGAAGACAAUUUAUGUAUGUGGAUAUGUGUUAUUUAUUUUAGAUCUCAUAUUUCAAGGCACUGAAACACUCUGGGUGAUCUCUUGAGUCCCUGAUACUGGGAGUCAAACUCUGCCUUCAGUCUGUGGUCUUAUUGAAGAUACAAAAAACCAAGCAGCGACGAGAGAUGACAAAAUACAGGGAACUGUUAAACUUGAUGAUGAACUGUUAGGUCUCAACUGACUAGAGAAGUGCAAUUUUACAUGUAAGGCUUACUGGAGGAAGCAAAGUUUAACUGGUUCCCUCAGAAUGGGAAGGGUUUACAAAUGUACAGACAUCCAAAUACUAGCAAAAUGAACCAAAGAAGUACAGCCUUCACCCAUUCAUGUCCUCAGCAGGAUUUUGCAGCUGCUGCUGUGCUCUGAUACUUUGCUGGGAUUUCAGACUAGAUCUGAUUCGUACCUUCUAGAAACCCAAAAGGCGGUCAAGAAAUCUGUGAAGGCUGAGUGUGGGAGCAGCAAUCAGAGCUCUGACAGAGCAGAGCCAAAAACACUAAGUCAGAGCAGGGGGGGAACAGGCCAGGGCUGGGCAGGAGGGAAGCUGCUUGGGCCAGACAUGGAGAGAGAUGGAGGGAGGGAAGGGAACAGGACGGGAGAGAGAGGAAGAGCAGACAGCAGAACCCACUUCUGUAAGUACAGGCCCAGGACACAGGCUGUACGGUGUGGAGCCGGCAUUUGUGCUGCCUGCUUCCUGACCAUGUGGUGCAUCGUCUCCACACAUCGAGAGGAGAGCCGGGUAUCUGAGCCCCUGCAUAAGUGUCCAACUAGCCCUGAGAGAAGCUAUAUUUAGGAUGGCCUAAGUCACAUACAAUAUAUACAGUCCUCCAGCAGUCAUCACCCACCCCUGGGUUGGUUAUGUGACUGCAAAGGCUCACUUCUGGCUUCAUCCUGUCAUGGCGCCAUCCUUACUGACAUGCACCGUAAUAUUUGUCCUGCAUGUACAUCAUGUCAGAAAGUUGCCAAAUAAAACACAUUUCUGGGCUAGCUGGCUAGGAGUGGUAUUACUUCACUCCGUGAACUCUACAUAAAGCACACUAAAUAGUUACUUUGGAGUAAGAUGUAGGAAAAAGCUUGAUUUUCACCUCCUGUAGCUUUUUGGGGGUGGGGGGUAGGGGCAGUGCUGGGAAAGCAAACUCUAGAGCUCCAUGCAGGAUCGGGCUCUGCUACUGAGCGCCCUUUUCAGUGAUGAGCACUGUAUCCUGUGUCCUUGCUCUGGAUGACACAGCCCUCAGGACCAAGUUUCACCUCAGCUACAGUUUAUCUGACCUCUCAUUAAAAGGGGGGGGUUUUCUCGUGUCUUGAUUUGGGUUUCCCUUCACAUUUCAUGCUUUUUAUUUUAUUACUAUUUUGCAUUAUAGUUUGAGACUUUAUGUCGGAGGUGAAGUUUAUGUUAUACCUGCUUAGUUAUAAUCUCAUCUGAAAGAAGAUGGUAGCCCAUGGAUAAACUGGCAUCUUUGACUGUUCACCUCAUGCUACACUAGCACAGGCUGGCAUGUGCCUGGAAGGCUGCUGCCACUGAGGAGAGAGCGCUCUGGCCACCAGUGCGCACUUGCUGAUGAAAGAGCGGGAAGAGUUCUGAUCAUGUAUUUUUUCUUAAGAGUAGAUGCAAAAUGGUGUCCAAUGCCAGGUGGGCCAGGAGUCCUCCAGUGCUGAUAUCCUGCAAAUUGUACUUGGUAAUAACAUUUGUAGUUUUUAAUCAGAUAAUAUAAUAUGGAAUUUAAAAAAGCUGUUCUUAGAAAUAAGACUCUUCCCAACCUUUACUUUGUAGCUGUUUGCCUUCUUCUUGCUAUGGCUAUGUGCACACUUACCCUCCCUUAUGUGGAGGGUCAGAGGGCUGUGUGUGUGCGAACAGAUGCUCAGUCAGAGGAGCGGGCUAACUGAGCACUGCUGUGCUGCUCAGGCAGGUGGCCGUUUUCAUGAGCCUGGUCCCUAAGAAGACUGUCCAUUCUCCAGUAACUUCCCUUCUUAGAGGUACACUGGGGGCUUUUCUCCUUUUGUCUAUAUGGUGUGUAUAUAGGAUGUGUGUGUAUUCAUGUGUGUGAACUACUCUUGUACUCACUUGAAGUAGAUUCUCUUUGUCAUGGGCUAAUGCAUACACCAGGCGUGCUAGCUCCCUGAGCUUCCAGAGAGUUCCCUGUGUCUACCUCCCAUUUUGCUAUACAAUUACUGCGAUUACAGCCAUGCACUAUUAUGCCUGGCUUUAUGUGGGCUCUGGGUAUUGGAAUUCAGGCCUCAUGCUGCUACAGAAAGCACCUGACCCACUGAACCACUUCCCUAGAUCUUGGGGUGUUUCUCUUCUUAAUGACUAAAAGUCCACCAUGGACAACUCUGACCCUAUGCAUAAAGAAGACAUAGUUAUUUGCACACAUGCAUAAGAGAAGAAGGAUGAACAAAUACAAAACAGAAGACCAGAGGAGAACCUUCUAAGAGCAGCAGUUUUGAAAAUUUCAUAUUCUAAUGUCUGGUUAAAAACUAUGAAUAGUUAGUUCAUUAGCCAAUACAGCUCUGAGUUCAAUUAUGAAAACAAAUUUAUCAAAAUUUAAAAUACCUACAUUUGGGCUGUCAUCUAUUUAUGAAUUUCCAUGGCAAAUUACAAGUGACUAGGAAGUAGGGAGGGGGACAAAAAAACCCUCAAUUAUUUCAGUACAGAAAUUUAAAAAAACAACUUGUACUUAACAACAAGAGACUAAUAAAUAAAAGUGACUCACCACCAGCUGACUUUUCUCCUCACCCAAGAGAAAAGUUGGCUUUCCUACUUACAUCUCUCUGUUGUGGUGGGCUUAGUGGUUAUGUUUUACUGAGGUAGCUAAAGGCACACUUUAUCCAUUCAAGCUACUCCUCUCUGGUGUCAGGUAACAAGAUUAGCUGGACCAGGCUAAGAGCGGAGAGCCCUUGCUAUGCAGCUGACUGGAAUACCCACACGCAGAAGGUGGGACACUAGUCUAAGUGAUGGCUGCUGUCGUCUAACUAGUGAUGCUUUUCACCCUGAGGACUGGAGGGAGCCUGGGCUUUUUCUUUACAACCUAACUUGAAAGCCUAAAGGAUAAAUAUCAACACCAGUCAUGUCAGCAGGGCAAUCUACUUCAUUAUCCCUAAGCCCUGCACUUAAACACCUACAUCCCCUGGGACCCAGUGCCAACUCUGCACAUCAGGUAAGCUCAACUGUAAACAGUCCAUGAGUAAAGCUUGCUUUUUCCAAAGACUUAACACACCAUUUUCUUUCUGUAGAACUUUUAGGAACAAUUGUGUCCUAAGGAUACAAGGUAGGUAAAGCCGAGGUUUGUGGCUGUAACAAGCAUCCCAUUAAGACUGGUAGCAAGGUAUGUGGGUUCACUGGUUACGUGACUGGAGGCUGGAUUGCUAACAGGGAGUGAUCUUCAGAGAGACCAACAGGGAAAGGCCACUUUUUGCUGGUUGCUUGCCCAGUUUAGGGAUACAAGAAUGAUCUGGACCUUCUACUCAAACCAAAUGGAGGUUACAUAGGACCACACAACGUUGCUACAAAAUACAACAGUAGGUACAAGUCUAAUGACACGGGGUGCCAGCAUUUUUUCCCAAGAGCAGUGUGUGCUUCAGUAAUAUAGCCUGAGACUGAGGCCAUCAACUCCCUUGUCUCUAUAACAAGGUAGUAAUUGUUAACAGUUGAAGAAGCAUCACUCUUCUCUUGGGAUCUGGCCAGCACUGCAAGAGACAGUAUCAAUUUUCAGAUGUUAUCUUUCCCAGUAGCCUAUUUCUUAAUCCAUUUCAGAAAAAGAGUUCCUUGGCUUUCUGUGAAGCAAGCCAAUCCCCUUUGGGUAGGCUCUUGCAAUGUGCCCUCCCGUCUUCCCUAAACUGAAUGCCAGGUGGCCUCUCUAACUUCCAACCAGGGGCUUCAGCUAGACUGUCCUUAUGUACAAAGAGUUACGAGCUGCAGCACAGGCAGCCUCUGGACAGAGAUGCAUGGAGUUUCACUGGCUGGCAGCCAGGCCAGUCUGCUGGCUGGUCGAGGCUGCAGCCAGAUCGGGCGUCAGCACCACUGUGUGAUGAGACCUAUCAUGAAGUGAGUGGUAAGGCAGCAGCACUGGCACAGAGCUGGUGACAGGGACCCAAAGAAUAACGUCUGUUCAUUCCUGCUGCUGCAAAUGAAAUUCUUCUACUGAAUGCGCAUGUUCGCCAUAGAAUGGAGAAGUCAGUGCGGCUAUAGGAGGAAGAGGGAGCAGCAUGGGAGGAGGAAGCAGUUUACACUUCCAGCCCCUAGAGAGGGAUGUAACAGUGAUACCACCACCGGGGUGAGAGGAAAGUCUAGAAUUCCAGGUGAAGAGAUGAGCCUUCUCAGUGCUGCGUUGCUGACAAACCUACAUUGCCAAGGACUGAUUCGGAGAGGACUGCAGGGAUACCAGGAGAGAAGCUGGAGGAAAGCGGUACACCACAGUGGCAGGUCCAAGUCUUACAGACCUGGGAACGGAGGACGCCAGUGCUCCUUGGCAGGCCGUCAGUUUGGUUUGGAGCUGGCUGUCAUAUUCAUCCUUCUGGAUGCCAGUACACUAAGGGACAUCUUGACCUUCUUGCUCAGUUUUCUAUACUUUACAAGUUGUUCAUCACAGGACAACAUGCUUUGUGUCAGCGCUAAAAUGCAUUGGCUGAGUGGCACCAGAAUUCUGGGUAUUUCAUUUUGGUAGAUGACCAAGCCAUGGAUUUGGUGUUCCUGUCUCUCUUCUCAUUCCUUUCUGGAGAGAGUUUAAAUGGGCUGGGGAAAGAUGUUUGAAGCUUUCUGAUCCAAUGUAAAUGAACCCUGUGGUGGAUAAAUAACUUUCCUUUCUCCUUUGCUCUCCUGGGGUAUUUUAAUGAAUAAUGCUUCUCAAAGAAGUUUAUAAAUAUCCCCCAGAGGUAAGAAGAAUAUUGAGCUCAUGGAGGUGUGCUAUUAAUGCCGAGCAUGUGGGACUGAGUGAGGAAGAAAGGAAUAAUUACAGUCUUGAGGUUUCAGAGACAUUUCUGGUAAGUUCUGAAGGGUAUAGCUGGAGCAUAACACUCAGAGCAACAUUAGUGAAGCGAGGACAGUUUCACCAGGCCAAGUCCAGCAAUUCCCUAACUGCAUGGUCUACCCCGGGGCAGAGGGUGGGGGGAGGAGGAUGGACUAAACCUUGUUUUGUUGUCAAUUAACAGCUGUGUGCUGAUUAAAAACUUAUAACAA